rnacentral:lncRNA from 1 species
AGAAAUAUAGGAUAAGAGUUUAAGCCCAAUAAGAUAAUAUUGUACCACAUAAUUGAAAUUCUAAGUUUAGAGAAUUUAACAGACGAAAUGACAAGCUAGUCGUUAGCGGAAGCAAAAGACAUUGUGGUACCCAGCCUCAGCUCAGCCCCGUCUGCACCAGCCGAUCAACCUGAAAAUAUUUGAAAAUAAUUUGGGCUGAGUACUAAUGUACUCAGUGGGCACAAGUUUUCGAAAUAUUUUAUGAAAUAAUCGAAGCAGUUUAUCCAAUAUCACAAUCAUGACUUAGAAGGUUUUAAAACGGAAUCCCACUUCUAAGCAUGACAAAACUUUUCUUCAUUUAGUGGCGCGCCAUGUACGUUCGAUUGUUACUCACUUUCUCCCUACAUUCACUGAUCUCGGGACGCACCCAGUCAGAUCCAAAAUCUGUUAUUGAUCUCGGGACGCACCCGGUCGGAAUCAAUAACCUUAACUGUGCUCCGGAUAACCUCCUGUCAAGCACCGUGCUCCGGAUAACCUCCUGUCAAGCACCCACCCUUAUAACGUUCUAAAUCUGUUAGUGCACGAUGGCGAUCAACCCAUCGAGCCACUAACCCUGUGUACACAAUCCUCAUUUAGCGUGUUAGGCCAAAUGAGAAUCUCGAUCGAUACUUAAGCGAGCCUUAAACAAUUACAGAACGCACAUAAAAACAUUUAUAUUGGAUAAACAGAUAAUUUUCAUGAAAUAUCAGAGCUUAUAUAACUCAAGAUACAUUGUAUGUAAAAUAAAACCCAC